rnacentral:rRNA from 1 species
AGCGAACGCUGGCGGCAGGCCUAACACAUGCAAGUCGAACGAACCUUUCGGGGUUAGUGGCGUCCGGGUGAGUAACACGUGGGAACGUGCCUUUAGGUUCGGAAUAACUCAGGGAAACUUGUGCUAAUACCGAAUGUGCCCUUCGGGGGAAAGAUUUAUCGCCUUUAGAGCGGCCCGCGUCUGAUUAGCUAGUUGGUUGAGGUAAUGGCUCACCAAGGCGACGAUCAGUAGCUGGUCUGAGAGGAUGAUCAGCCACAUUGGGACUGAGACACGGCCCAAACUCCUACGGGAGGCAGCAGUGGGGAAUCUUGCGCAAUGGGCGAAAGCCUGACGCAGCCAUGCCGCGUGAAUGAUGAAGGUCUUAGGAUUGUAAAAUUCUUUCACCGGGGACGAUAAUGACGGUACCCGGAGAAGAAGCCCCGGCUAACUUCGUG